UCUAGCUCAGGGAUUGUAAAGGCACCAAUCAGCCCCCUGUCAAAACAGACCACUGGGCUCUACCAAUCAGCAGGAUGUGGGUGGGGCCAAAUAACAGAAUAAAAGCAGGCUGCCCGAGCCAGCAGUGGCAAGCUGCUCGGAUCCCAGCCCACGGUGUGGAAGCUUUGUUCUUUCGCUCUUUGCAAUAAAUCCUGCUGCUGCUCACUCUUUGGGUCAACACUACCUUUCUGAGCUGUGACGCUCACUGCGAAGGUCUGCAGCUUCACCCCUGAAGCCAGCAAGACCACGAACCCACCGGGAGGAACUAACAACUCCAGACGCGCCGCCUUAAGAGCUGUAACACUCACCGCGAAGGUCCGCAGCUUUACUCCUGAGCCAGCGAGACCACGAACCCACCAGAAGGAAGAAACUCAGAACACAUGCGAACAUCAGAAGGAACAAACUCCAGAGGCGCCACCUUAAGAGCUAUAACACUCACCGCGAGGGUCCGCGGCUUCGUUUUUGAAGUGAGACCAAGAACCCACCAAUUCCGGACAUGCGUGGACUCACUGAGAAGCAGCAAGUUGGCGUUGACUUAGCCCGCUCAGUGUGCAGAGUGGGUUGAAGAAAAGAAUAGACCACAUCAGAGGAGUAAAGGGGUGGGGGCAAAAGCCAGAGAAGGUGGGACCUUGGAAUCACUGGAAUGACUUUGCUUCCACUGGCCAGGUGGAGAUGUGUGCCUGGGUCGGUAUAAACCUCUCUCUGUGUUUCAAGAACACACCUUUGGGAAGGUGACAGUGUGGUGGUGGGACAGCAAACUGCCAGUCUAGAAAGCUACUCCAGGCCUCAGUUUCUCAUCUGUGGAAUUAAGACAUUGGCCUGUAGAUCCAUGGGAUCCAUCAGGGAUCACCCCAGCUCUAAGCAUCUAUGAUACCGUGGGAAUGGAGAUGAAGAUAUUUCAUUUAACAUCUGGUCAAGAGUCCAAGUAAACAGCUCACGUGAUGUCCUUCAAGAGCCAGCCAUACUCUGGGGCUUAUCGUCUUGGCAGAAAAAGCAACUGUCCAGAGGUCAAACAAGGGCCUGUUUCCUCCCCUGCGAGCCAGCUGAGACCUUCCAUUCCCAGACUGAGUUUCAGUCCUUUAGUUUAGCCUUAAGGCUUUGUUCCCUAAUAAAAUGCAACACACUGGAAAGACUGCCACUAAGUUACUCUCAGAUUUACUUUACAAGGAUGAGUUGAGAUCAACUUUUGAUGAGCAGAGGAGGGCCAAAUAGACCAUGUGUCCUUGGGAGGGAAGAGCUGUGUCCCUGGGAUGGGGAGCAUUUUGGAACCAGAGGUUGGAAGCACCAAAGCCGAACAGUUCCUUCUCACCAGUGCUUCCCAGGCAGAGCCUCACAAAACAGCACAAUUGUGGCAAUUCCCCUGUGAGGCUUCUUUAAGAACCCUAUUUUCCCUGGUUUAAGUAAACUCAAAUAUUUCAUUUGUAUUUCUGUAAGCACACAUUUUCAACUCUUGCUGCCUUCUUGGCUGUUGAAUGACUGUCAUCACCAUGUGUAGAAUCAUGGAUCUAAGAAUCCUCAGUGUCACUUAGUCCAACUUUCUUCCCCAAAUAGUCUCUUCUAGGAUAUCUUCCCCAUUGAUGGCCACUAUGUAGGUGCUUGAACCUUUGCAGUAACAAGGACUUCAUUGCUUCAUAAGGCACUGUGUUACAUGAUGGACUAUUGUAUUUUUAGGAAGUUCUUUUUAUUGAAUCAAACUUUAUCUCUCUAAACAUCAAUUGAUCAUUUCUAGUCUCCCAGAAUUACUUUGGUUAAUGGAUCUCAAAGUCUAAAUUCAAACAUUGUCACCUAAGCAUUGAGGUCCUCCCCUUUUUUGUUCCUCUCACUAGUCUAGUUUUAUGAACAAUCCUAUGAAACCUCGAUGACCACACAUCUGACAAGCCCAUUACUGUUUCAAAAGGAAAGGAAGGUAGGGAUCUACAAGCUAAUGUCUCCAAAGCAGAUCUUAGCACAAUUCUGAUUCUGCAUCCAGCACAUGACAUUCUCCCUGGAGAUAAUCCCAAUGCCUGCUUAAUAGGUUAGAGUCCCAGCGUUUAAUAUCUGACCGCAUUAAGAGUUUUUAACAUCUCACUUAAAAUUAAUCCAUAACAGAUAUUUUUGACAUAAAACUCAAAAGGAAAUAGCUUCCUACCCAAAUUAACUACAAAAUCGGGAAAAACUUUAAAAGUUUCUGUAUUAGACUGUACACAAGCCUGCCUACUGUAUUUAACUGGACUCUUCAUGACAUCUAGUGGCGAAAUCUGGAAAAGUUUCCAGUACUCUAAACGUGGCAGAAGGUGGGAAAACAAUUUUUAAUCCUAUUUGAUAUUCACUGUUUGAAUAUUAUGUUUUGUGAAAUCGUAAACUGAAUUCAUCUGUCAAUCCAUUAUAAUAGUAUACUCAUUUUUAUUUUAGGCAUAUCUGUGGCUUUAUACCUUUUAAAUUUGGGCUGACUUUGAAAUCAAUCACAUCUAUUUUUUCACGGAUGUCAGAAAGAACCACAUUGGUUUAGGGGGAGAAAAACAUUCUGGAUAAGCAUAAAUAACAACAUUUUUAGCUGGAAACACACCACAAAAAUGUUUUGCAUAACUGUAUUCAUCUUCAAAUGUAGUUUUAAGACUCAAUUCCUGUGAAAUCUGAGUCAUUUAUAGCUAACCUUGAAUGUAUUGUUAUUCACAAUUAGAAGUAGAUAAAUUUCACAGGCAGAGAAGCUGACAAGUCUUUAAGACUUCACACUUAGUUUUGCAGGAAGAGCUGAAGUUAAUUAGAAGUGAUUAUACAUACAUUGCAUGUGUGUGUGUAUUUGUGUUGUUGCACACAGACACCACGAAGGCCUUGGGAAGGUUGCAUUUUUUAUGUUUUAAAAAUAAACAUAAUCUCCUUCCCAUGUGUUGCUAUAAGCCCAGUAAAUCUAGGAAGCUCAGCAGGGUUGAACAAGGUCAUUUCUCGUCAGGACUCCAAGGGGGAGCAGGAAGCAACCCUGUGCAUCAGAUGCUGGCAUCCUAAUCCCUGCUCAGCAAGAGCUUCCCAGGCAUGUGGGACAGGUCGUGCCAGCGCCGACACACUGGCAGACCGAGGCUCUGACGCCAGCCACGCUCCGUAUCAGCACUGCGGCUCCCUACCUACCGUGCCCCUGGAAGACGAAAAUAUAUCCUCACUCUCACAGUAAAGGCAGGAUUCCAACCGAGUCUGCUCACUUCUUGGUUCUGGUAAACAGGAAAGUAGUCAUGAAAAGAUACAUCUAAUC
rnacentral:lncRNA from 10 species